rnacentral:lncRNA from 1 species
UUCACUUUAACUAGUGACAGAUGUUCUCAUUCUUUGGUAUUCUACCCAGUAAAAAGGUAGUUGUAAUCCGUAUUUUGUUCCUCAUAGAGUUAAUCCUUGAUAUGUUCAUCUUAGCCGAUGACGGGUUUUCUUCUCCUUGUUGGUUUUCUACCCAGAAACCGGUAGUUGUAAAUCCUACUUUUUUCCCCUGUGCAGAGUUAAUCCUUGAUAUGUUCACUUUAACCGGUGACGGAUUUUCUCUUGUUUGGUAUUCUAU